CCGGCGAUCCGCCGUAACGAUGGGUACUAAGUGUUGGGGAAACUCAGUGCUGCAGUUAACGCAAUAAGUAUCCCGCCUGUGGAGUAUGCACGCAAGUGUGAAACAUAAAGGAAUUGACGGGGGCCCGCACAAGCGGUGGAGUAUGUGGUUUAAUUCGAAGCAACGCGAAGAACCUUACCAGGCCUUGACAUCCCUUGCAAAGACAUAGAGAUAUGUUAGAGGUUAACAGAGUGACAGAUGGUGCAAACC
rnacentral:rRNA from 1 species